GGUUGUACAACAGGGGACAUGAUACUGUAAAAUUAAUCCAAAUAGGGAGGGCUAUGUGACUGCUGCAAAGUUUGCAUGACCCUGAAGAGUAGAUGGUGUGCAGAAAGCAGGAUAUUGAAACUGCUUGGUAUGUAGAAAUAGAUAGAGAAGAACAAAGAAGUACUAAGCUGUUCUAACUGCAAGGCCAGCUGGACAGGCAAGUAUCAUUCACAAAGAUACUUUUAAGAUAAUAGUACAAGUCACAUAGCAACCAAUCAUGAGCUCGGCUUUUGCAAUAUGUAUGAGCUAAUUAACGAACAUAUAUAAACUGUGUAAUCUGUCACAAUAAACUGAGACUUGAUGAUCAUGA